UAAUGAAUGACAACUUGACGAGAUCUUGACACGCACGUUGGAAGUGUACGCGUGUUUGCACCUCGAUGAGCGUUGCACAAUAACAAAGCUCCGUUGGUGAGCGUAUUGAUUAAUAAAGCUAGGUGAAGUCCUUGAGUGCCUCAAGGACUUUGUUUUGUUUUAGCAGUAUUUUUUCCUUCAACAAUUAAUCUUGCAUCUCCAACCGUGGAAUGAGUUACAUGUGACUCGAGACAAACAAACAGUGCAAUUGCAACAAUAUAAUUAGUCAGCGAUAUAAAUUUGCCAUAUCUUCAUGCCAACCACAAGGAUUCUGCUUUUGCACACACCUUCAUUAUUAAUGUGUUUCUUCAGGUAUGGUCACUAUCAGCAGCUUUACACACAGUGUGCAUCGUGAAUACAUCAAUCCCAGA